rnacentral:tRNA from 1 species
GGCUCUGUAGUGAAGUUCAUGGUGGGUUGCAAACUCAUCGAUGUGCAUUGAUUUGCGCCGGGGCCU